rnacentral:rRNA from 1 species
UGGGGAAUAUUGCACAAUGGGCGAAAGCCUGAUGCAGCAACGCCGCGUGAGUGAUGAAGGCCUUCGGGUUGUAAAGCUCUGUCUUUUGGGACGAUAAUGACGGUACCAAAGGAGGAAGCCACGGCUAACUACGUGCCAGCAGCCGCGGUAAUACGUAGGUGGCAAGCGUUGUCCGGAUUUACUGGGCGUAAAGGAUGCGUAGGCGGAUUUUUAAGUGAGAUGUGAAAUACCCGGGCUUAACUUGGGUGCUGCAUUUCAAACUGGGAAUCUAGAGUGCGGGAGAGGAGAAUGGAAUUCCUAGUGUAGCGGUGAAUGCGUAGAGAUUAGGAAGAACACCAGUGGCGAAGGCGAUUCUCUGGACCGUAACUGACGCUGAGGCAUGAAAGCGUGGGUAGCAAACAGGAUUAGAUACCCUGGUAGUCCACGCCGUAAACGAUGAGUACUAGGUGUAGGAGGUAUCGACCCCUUCUGUGCCGCAGUUAACACAAUCAAGUACUCCGCCUGGGAAGUACGAUCGCAAGAUUAAAACUCAAAUGAAUUGACGGGGGUC